GACGAACGCUGGCGGCGUGCCUAAUACAUGCAAGUAGAACGCACAGUUUAUACCGUAGCUUGCUACACCAUAGACUGUGAGUUGCGAACGGGUGAGUAACGCGUAGGUAACCUGCCUGGUAGCGGGGGAUAACUAUUGGAAACGAUAGCUAAUACCGCAUAAUAUUGAUUAUUGCAUGAUAAUUAAUUGAAAGGUGCAAUUGCACCACUACCAGAUGGACCUGCGUUGUAUUAGCUAGUAGGUGAGGUAACGGCUCACCUAGGCGACGAUACAUAGCCGACCUGAGAGGGUGAUCGGCCACACUGGGACUGAGACACGGCCCAGACGCCUACGGGAGGCAGCAGGAGGGAAUCUUCGGCAAUGGACGAAAGUCUGACCGAGCAACGCCGCGUGAGUGAAGAAGGUUUUCGGAUCGUAAAGCUCUGUUGUAAGAGAAGAACGGGUGUGAGAGUGGAAAGUUCACACUGUGACGGUAUCUUACCAGAAAGGGACGGCUAACUACGUG
rnacentral:rRNA from 1 species